rnacentral:rRNA from 1 species
GAUGAACGCUGGCGGCGUGCCUAAUACAUGCAAGUCGAGCGAACAGACGAGGAGCUUGCUCCUCUGACGUUAGCGGCGGACGGGUGAGUAACACGUGGAUAACCUACCUAUAAGACUGGGAUAACUUCGGGAAACCGGAGCUAAUACCGGAUAAUAUAUUUAACCGCAUGGUUCAAUAGUGAAAGACGGUUUUGCUGUCACUUAUAGAUUGAUCCGCGCCGCAUUAGCUAGUUGGUAAGGUAACGGCUUACCAAGGCAACGAUGCGUAGCCGACCUGAGAGGGUGAUCGGCCACACUGGAACUGAGACACGGUCCAGACUCCUACGGGAGGCAGCAGUAGGGAAUCUUCCGCAAAGGGCGAAAGGCUGACGGAGCAACGCCGCGUGAGUGAUGAAGGUCUUCGGAUCGUAAAACUCUGUUAGUAGGGAAGAACAAAUGUGUAAGUAACUAUGCACGUCUUGACGGUACCUAAUCAGAAAGCCACGGCUAACUACGUG